rnacentral:tRNA from 1 species
CAAGGAGUAGUUUAGUUUAGAAUUUUAGCUUUGGGAGCUAGAGGCGGGGGUUAAAAUCCCCUUUCCUUGA